CCUACGGGUGGCAGCAGUAGGGAAUAUUGCUCAAUGGGGGAAACCCUGAUGCAGCAACGCCGCGUGAAGGAUGAAGGCCUUCGGAUCGUAAACCUCUUUCCUUAGAGAAGAUAAUGACGGUACUUAACGAAUAAGCACCGGCUAACUCCGUGCCAGCAGCCGCGGUAAUACGUAGGGGGCUAGCGUUAUCCGGAAUAACUGGGCGUAAAGGGUGCGUAGGUGGGUUGUUAAGUCAGUGGUAAAAGCUUAGGGCUAAACCGUAGUAUGCAUUUGAAACUGGUAAACUUGAGUGUAGGAGAGGAAGGUGGAAUUCCUGGUGUAGCGGUGAAAUGCGUAGAUAUUAGGAGGAAUACCAGUUGCGAAGGCGGCCUGCUAGAAUGUAACUGACACUGAGGCACGAAAGCGUGGGGAGCAAACAGGAUUAGAUACCCGGGUAGUC
rnacentral:rRNA from 1 species